GGAACAGCGAGCAUGGUUGGCUUGGUCCACGAUGCAGGUACUUCUUGUCGGAGAGCAGCGCGGCGGCGGCACUUAGCGCUCCCGCCGCUGGUGCGGAACCAAGCCGCUGGAUGCUUCAGAAGCACAGGUGGGUGCCAAAAUGACUCGAUGUUUCAGAGGCAGAGGUAGAUGCAAAAUUGAAUUACACUCUUCUUGAUGUGUUCCUGAGGGAUGUGGCGGUUCUGGUCUAAACCAUGGAGACAACUCCUUCCGCAUUGCAAUAUAUUCUGUUUUUCCUUUUAGAUCCAAGGAUGUGGUUUAAAUGUUAAAACCCGGCUUCUAACAGUGUAGGACAAUAUGGGACUAUCUGAUUCCUAUAACUAUAGUUUUUUCUUGUAGAGUUGUUUGCUUAUACGGUUUUCUUUCUCUUUUCUUGGCUUUUUUUUCUUGCUAUAGCUAAUCUUCAGUUACUGCAGGUGCAGCAAGGAGGAACAAUCAGUAGAUUUAGCAUUUAUUUUGCUAAAAAAGUAAAAAUGCAGGUUAUUAUAACUAAAAAUCAGUAUGCCUUUCAUCAGCAGGCUAUCGUGCCGGUCUCGUUGACUCAUUGUUGGGCAUGGGUGGAAGUUUGGCAAAUGUGGUUGAAUGGUACCACUCACACCCUGGUUAUGGAUGAUGGUUGCCAUGCAUUGAUGUUUCUACUCAGAUGCUUCAUCAUCAGUUUACAGAGCCAUUUUUGGUUGUUAUCAUUGACCCUGGAAGGAUUAUUUCUGCUGGUAAAGUGUAAAUUGGAGCUUUUAGGACGUAUCCCGGAAAUUACAGCCUGACAAGCCUUUGUAUGAGCAUCAUACCAUACCACAAAGCAAGAUAGAAUAUUUUUGUGUUCAUUACAAUCAGGUAACUAGAUUAAAUGUCAAUCUUCUCUUUUGCUAAAAUGUGGCUUAGUUCUAUUGUAAUUGUAUUUUUUUAUUGCAAUACUAAUCUUUGGUCAUAGUUAAUUUCAAGUGAUUCAGGGGCUCUCACCUCCUUGUCUAUUCUAGAAAAUGUGAUGGGCAACCAGCAUUGACCGAGUUUAAUUUGCUUCCAGCUUUUACUCUGUAGAUAUUGCAAUGGGGGAAGGAUCGAACCAUGCACUGGUCGAAUUCCCUUCUAAGUUCAGAUUGUUGAUCAUGUGGAUCAACCAUUUAUGGUGUGAAUUUUUCUUUUCACAAAGGGCCUAGGUCCAUUCUCUGCAUAAACUGUUGUAUACGGCUCAUUUAUGAUGUGUUAUACAUUCCUUUAAGUAUGUGAGGUGCACGUAUCAUACUCCGAUGUAAUCCUGAAUUUCAUAUAAUGCAAUCACAAUUCAGGUUGAUG